UGUUGUUUCGUAUUCUCCACUUUAAAGUGCUUCAAAUUAGUAUCAUGUGGUUUCAUUUUUAUCUUUUCGUCAAUUUUUUCGUUAAUAUUUUGUUAAAUUAUAUAUAAAAAACUUCAGAUAUCCCAUCUAGAUUUAUCGAAUAUUCAUUUUAGUACCUUUUAGUUUUAAUUUUGUCAUUAAUUUAAUAAAAAUAAUUAGUGAAAUCGAUAAGAAAAAUAUAAAAAUAAAACCAUAUAGCACUAAUGGGUGCGUUUGAUUCGAGUUAUCCUGGCAGGAUUACAGGCAAUCCUGCCAGGAUAACUAUGUUUGGUUAAUCCGCUAUGUAAUCUAGUCGUUAAUGUAGGAUUACAUAUCGAGCAGGAUUACAUCGAAAAUAUUAACGGGAGGGAGGUCGUGUAUCUUGCAUUACUGAAACCCGUUAAUACUACAUAUUAUGUAAAAUGACAAUUUUACCCUCCAACAACCCCAAAUCUAAUUAACAGUAUUAUUUUCAUCUCUAUCUCGCCUUCCCCCCAGCCCUCUCUCUCGCACGCCGCUUUCUCUCGCUCUCUCUCUCUCGACGUCUCUCUCUCUCUCUCUCUCUCUCGCACGAACACCUAUCAUCUUCUAUUGCGUCGUCCUCCCAAGUAAUCAUCACGAUCUCCUUUCCUCCAUUCGUUAUUUCCGCAAAAAAUAAUAUUCAAAUGACCACAACAAGGGCAAUUUUGGAAAAAACUAUACUUUUAUGUCAGGAUUACUAAAUUUUAUAAACUGAACCAAACGCUCUAAUGCAGCAUUAGUAGUAAUCUCACGCCGAAAUCCAAAAUACCUGGAUAUGUCGAGAUACUUUGUAAUAUUACAUAACUCGAACCAAACGGGCCCUAAAUUGGUCUACUUUAAACUAUAAGGUAAUAAAGUGAGAAAAUAUAAAAUCACAAAAAUGAUAUUUGAAAUUUUUUCCAUCAAAAAAUUUUCUUCUAAUGCAUCGAAAUAAAAGCCAAAUAAAACAAAAAUAAAAAA
rnacentral:lncRNA from 1 species